rnacentral:lncRNA from 1 species
AUGGUUUGAAUAUAAAAUUCCCUACAAGAUCUGGGGAGCACUUGGUCCUCAUCUGGUAAAGCUGUUUGGAGGAGGCUCUGGAAUGUUUAGGAGGUAGGCCCUAGUCAGAGGAACUAGGUCACUGAAGGGAAACACCAAGGUUCUAGUCUCUAGUUACAUUUUUACUUCCUGUCUGCCAAGAAGGAAACAGCUUCCUCCACACCUGUCCCAGUACUGUGAUGUACUGCCGCACAGUCAAGCCACCAUGAAAUGAACCUCUAAGUGUUUCUGCUCUGUUGGACGGGCAUCCGGGGACUCGGAAGCCCAGGAACCACACAGCUCUGAGGGGAGGAUGCAUCCCAGUGAGACACAGGAGCCCAGGAACCACACAGCUCUGAGAGAGAGAAAGCCUCCUCAGCAGAGGUGUUGCAGCUCCCCAGGAUUAUCAGGCUGGCUUGCAACUUGUAGUGAUCCUCUUGUUGCAUCUUCAGAGCACCGAGAUUACAGGAUCACAAUUAUGAGAAUGGAUGCUAAGAAGCGUCUGCUUUGAACAUCUCCAGGCUUCACCCUACCUUGAAAGAAAGCCAG